UACGUAGGGUGCAAGCGUUGUCCGGAAUUAUUGGGCGUAAAGAGCUCGUAGGCGGUCUGUCGCGUCGGAUGUGAAAAUCCAGGGCUCAACCCUGGACCUGCAUUCGAUACGGGCAGACUAGAGUUCGGUAGGGGAGACUGGAAUUCCUGGUGUAGCGGUGAAAUGCGCAGAUAUCAGGAGGAACACCGGUGGCGAAGGCGGGUCUCUGGGCCGAAACUGACGCUGAGGAGCGAAAGCGUGGGGAGCAAACAGGAUUAGAUACCGGGUAGUCC
rnacentral:rRNA from 1 species